rnacentral:rRNA from 1 species
GAUGAACGCUGGCGGCGUGCCUAAUACAUGCAAGUCGAGCGAAUGGAUUGAGAGCUUGCUCUCAAGAAGUUAGCGGCGGACGGGUGAGUAACACGUGGGUAACCUGCCCAUAAGACUGGGAUAACUCCGGGAAACCGGGGCUAAUACCGGAUAACAUUUUGAACUGCAUGGUUCGAAAUUGAAAGGCGGCUUCGGCUGUCACUUAUGGAUGGACCCGCGUCGCAUUAGCUAGUUGGUGAGGUAACGGCUCACCAAGGCAACGAUGCGUAGCCGACCUGAGAGGGUGAUCGGCCACACUGGGACUGAGACACGGCCCAGACUCCUACGGGAGGCAGCAGUAGGGAAUCUUCCGCAAUGGACGAAAGUCUGACGGAGCAACGCCGCGUGAGUGAUGAAG